CCAUCUCCAGGGUUCAAGCAAUUCUCCUGCCUCAGCCUCUCGAUGAAACCAACUUCAUAAAGGCUGUGGCAUUUCUUCCAAGACACUACGAUGAAGAUGACAUCAUCAGGAGACUUAGGGAAAGCUACGACUUUUCAAGUAACUAAAGUGGGUGACCCUCACUACUUUGUGGGCUCAA